ensembl:misc_RNA
CUUCCACUUGUGCAGGGCUCAGCAUCCCUGGGGCCUCAACUCCUUAUUCAUCCUGGACUGCUCCUCUGCAUCGGGGCAGUAAGCUCUCUCCCCAGGGUCCCGGCCCACUACUUCCAGGCCCU